rnacentral:rRNA from 1 species
UGCAAGUCGAGCGGACAGUAUGGGAGCUUGCGUCCCUGAUGUUAGCGGCGGACGGGUGAGUACACGUGGGUAACCUGCCUGUAAGACUGGGAUAACUCCGGGAAACCGGGGCUAAUACCGGAUGCUUGUUUGAACCGCAUGGUUCAAACAUAAAAGGUGGCUUCGGCUACCACUUACAGAUGGACCCGCGGCGCAUUAGCUAGUUGGUGAGGUAAUGGCUCACCAAGGCAACGAUGCGUAGCCGACCUGAGAGGGUGAUCGGCCACACUGGGACUGAGACACGGCCCAGACUCCUACGGGAGGCAGCAGUAGGGAAUCUUCCGCAAUGGACGAAAGUCUGACGGAGCAACGCCGCGUGAGUGAUGAAGGUUUUCGGAUCGUAAAGCUCUGUUGUUAGGGAAGAACAAGUGCCGUUCAAAUAGGGCGGCACCUUGACGGUACCUAACCAGAAAGCCACGGCUAACUACGUGCCAGCAGCCGCGGUAAUACGUAGGUGGCAAGCGUUGUCCGGAAUUAUUGGGCGUAAAGGGCUCGCAGGCGGUUUCUUAAGUCUGAUGUGAAAGCCCCCGGCUCAACCGGGGAGGGUCAUUGGAAACUGGGGAACUUGAGUGCAGAAAAGGAGAGUGGAAUUCCACGUGUAGCGGUGAAAUGCGUAAAGAUGUGGAGGAACACCAGUGGCGAAGGCGACUCUCUGGUCUGUAACUGACGCUGAGGAGCGAAAGCGUGGGGAGCGAACAGGAUUAGAUACCCUGGUAGUCCACGCCGUAAACGAUGAGUGCUAAGUGUUAGGGGGUUUCCGCCCCUUAGUGCUGCAGCUAACGCAUUAAGCACUCCGCCUGGGGAGUACGGUCGCAAGAC